rnacentral:ncRNA from 1 species
ACAAAUUCAUUGAAAAAGAGAGUAACAUUAAUUGACAUUAUAGAGAGUUCAGGAUGGUGGAAGCUGAGCAUUGAGAUUUUUGUGAAAAGAGCUUUGGAGAAGACUGCAGUAAAUUAGUAUGGCAGUCGGUGUUCUCGCCUUAAGAGAUUGAGUGGGUAAGUUUUUUCUUACCAAUAAGAGUGGUAACGCGGUAAUUUCGCCUCUUGG